AAAUCACAAUGCGGGACUAUCAGUCUUGCAAUUGGAUUGAGAACAAUGUACAACUCUUAUCGAUAAGCCAUUGGAGGGCAAGUCUGGUGCCAGCAGCCGCGGUAAUUCCAGCUCCAAUAGCGUAUAUUAACGUUGUUGCAGUUAAAAAGCUCGUAGUUGAAGUGUGGGUGGUGCCUACUUCCAGACUUCGGUUUAGGAGUGGAUCACUACCCCCUUCCAGUAUCCAGUAGUGGGUAUUCAGUUACUUACUAUUGUGUGUUGGUCCUUUACUGUGAGAAAAUUAGAGUGUUCAAAGCAGGCGUUUGCUUGAAUAGAUUAGCAUGGAAUAAUAAUUGAAGGCUUUCGUGUUCGAUUUGAUUGGUUUGUUCAUGGAAGCAAGGUUAAAAGGAACAGUUGGGGGUAUUCAUAUUCACUAGUUAGAGGUGAAAUUCUCGGAUUUAUGGAAGAUGA
rnacentral:rRNA from 1 species